AGGACGUGCAGGAGGACGACGAGGAGGAGGCGACAGCAGGGGGUUCCGCUUCCUCUAGUUCGUCGAGCGUCUACUUGCGAGGUCCCGCGAGCCUCCCUCAGCGACCGAUACCUCGUGAGAGACGCCCGCUGAUUCGACCCGAGGGGGAAAAGAACUGGACGAUUGUGGCGAGUGGAGGUGCUCACACACGCCAAGUCAAUGGCAUCCUCGGUCUUCUGUGCAAGGAGCACUUCCCUGGCCUGGUUGAGUACGCCGGAGUGACGGGGCCGGCCUACUCGUUUGACCACUACGCCGCCGCCCCCGAUGCUGCAGAUCGGGCCCGCAGGGUAUUCAACAACAAGGCGGAGCGGGUGAAGCAAGAGCUGUGGGAUUUCUUUAGAUGCCAGGACGGACAUGAGGCCAGGGCGGAUGCGGUGGCUACCAAAUGCUGCAAAAAACUCG